AGAUUAAGUUAUUAAGGGCGCACGGUGGAUGCCUUGGCACUAGAAGCCGAUGAAGGACGUUACUAACGACGAUAUGCUUUGGGGAGCUGUAAGUAAGCUUUGAUCCAGAGAUUUCCGAAUGGGGAAACCCAGCAUGAGUUAUGUCAUGUUAUCGAUAUGUGAAUACAUAGCAUAUCAGAAGGCACACCCGGAGAACUGAAACAUCUUAGUACCCGGAGGAAGAGAAAGAAAAUUCGAUUCCCUUAGUAGCGGCGAGCGAAACGGGAAGAGCCCAAACCAACAAGCUUGCUUGUUGGGGUUGUAGGACACUCUAUACGGAGUUACAAAGGACGACAUUAGACGAAUCAUCUGGAAAGAUGAAUCAAAGAAGGUAAUAAUCCUGUAGUCGAAAAUGUUGUCUCUCUUGAGUGGAUCCUGAGUACGACGGAGCACGUGAAAUUCCGUCGGAAUCUGGGAGGACCAUCUCCUAAGGCUAAAUACUCUCUAGUGACCGAUAGUGAACCAGUACCGUGAGGGAAAGGUGAAAAGCACCCCGGAAGGGGAGUGAAAUAGAACCUGAAACCGUGUGCUUACAAGUAGUCAGAGCCCGUUAAUGGGUGAUGGCGUGCCUUUUGUAGAAUGAACCGGCGAGUUACGAUUUGAUGCAAGGUUAAGCAGUAAAUGUGGAGCCGUAGCGAAAGCGAGUCUGAAUAGGGCGUUUAGUAUUUGGUCGUAGACCCGAAACCAGGUGAUCUACCCUUGGUCAGGUUGAAGUUCAGGUAACACUGAAUGGAGGACCGAACCGACUUACGUUGAAAAGUGAGCGGAUGAACUGAGGGUAGCGGAGAAAUUCCAAUCGAACCUGGAGAUAGCUGGUUCUCUCCGAAAUAGCUUUAGGGCUAGCCUCAAGUGAUGAUUAUUGGAGGUAGAGCACUGUUUGGACGAGGGGCCCCUCUCGGGUUACCGAAUUCAGACAAACUCCGAAUGCCAAUUAAUUUAACUUGGGAGUCAGAACAUGGGUGAUAAGGUCCGUGUUCGAAAGGGAAACAGCCCAGACCACCAGCUAAGGUCCCAAAAUAUAUGUUAAGUGGAAAAGGAUGUGGCGUUGCCCAGACAACUAGGAUGUUGGCUUAGAAGCAGCCAUCAUUUAAAGAGUGCGUAAUAGCUCACUAGUCGAGUGACACUGCGCCGAAAAUGUACCGGGGCUAAACAUAUUACCGAAGCUGUGGAUUGUCCUUUGGACAAUGGUAGGAGAGCGUUCUAAGGGCGUUGAAGCAUGAUCGUAAGGACAUGUGGAGCGCUUAGAAGUGAGAAUGCCGGUGUGAGUAGCGAAAGACGGGUGAGAAUCCCGUCCACCGAUUGACUAAGGUUUCCAGAGGAAGGCUCGUCCGCUCUGGGUUAGUCGGGUCCUAAGCUGAGGCCGACAGGCGUAGGCGAUGGAUAACAGGUUGAUAUUCCUGUACCACCUAUAAUCGUUUUAAUCGAUGGGGGGACGCAGUAGGAUAGGCGAAGCGUGCGAUUGGAUUGCACGUCUAAGCAGUAAGGCUGAGUAUUAGGCAAAUCCGGUACUCGUUAAGGCUGAGCUGUGAUGGGGAGAAGACAUUGUGUCUCGAGUCGUUGCCUGACCCGGUUCUGGAAGGUUAGAGGAGUGUAGCUUCCGCGAGCASGAAUCGAGCCCCAGUAACGGCGGCGUACUAUAACGUCUAGUAGSGAAUCUGUCGGGUAGUCCGACCCGCCACGAAAGGSKWAACGAUUGGCACUGUCUCAACGAGAAGACUCGUGGAAAUCAUAGUACCUGUGAAGAUGCAGGUUACCCGSGACAGGACGGAAAGACCCCGUGGAGCUUACUGUAGCCUGAUAUUGAAAUUCGGCACAGCUUGUACAGGAUAGGUAGGAGCCUUUGAAACGUGAGCGCUAGCUUACGUGGAGGCGCUGGUGGGAUACUACCCUAGCUGUGUUGGCUUUCUAACCCGCACCACUUAUCGUGGUGGGAGACAGUGUCAGGCGGGCAGUUUGACUGGGGCGGUCGCCUCCUAAAAGGUAACGGAGGCGCUCAAAGGUUCCCUCAGAAUGGUUGGAAAUCAUUCAUAGAGUGUAAAGGCAUAAGGGAGCUUGACUGCGAGACCUACAAGUCGAGCAGGGUCGAAAGACGGACUUAGUGAUCCGGUGGUUCCGCAUGGAAGGGCCAUCGCUCAACGGAUAAAAGCUACCCCGGGGAUAACAGGCUUAUCUCCCCCAAGAGUUCACAUCGACGGGGAGGUUUGGCACCUCGAUGUCGGCUCAUCGCAUCCUGGGGCUGUAGUCGGUCCCAAGGGUUGGGCUGUUCGCCCAUUAAAGCGGUACGCGAGCUGGGUUCAGAACGUCGUGAGACAGUUCGGUCCCUAUCCGUCGUGGGCGUAGGAAAUUUGAGAGGAGCUGUCCUUAGUACGAGAGGACCGGGAUGGACAUACCUCUGGUGUACCAGUUGUCGUGCCAACGGCAUAGCUGGGUAGCUAUGUGUGGACGGGAUAAGUGCUGAAAGCAUCUAAGCAUGAAGCCCCCCUCAAGAUGAGAUUUCCCAACUUCGGUUAUAAGAUCCCUCAAAGAUGAUGAGGUUAAUAGGUUCGAGGUGGAAGCAUGGUGACAUGUGGAGCUGACGAAUACUAAUCGAUCGAAGACUUAAUCAAAA
rnacentral:rRNA from 1 species